rnacentral:misc_RNA from 1 species
CUGAAAACGAUCAGAUACCGUCGUAG